GCACUGCUGAAGAGUCCCAAAAUAGGACAAGACGGUCGUCCAGUGC
rfam:Schistosoma mansoni strain Puerto Rico chromosome 5, complete genome